CUAAGAUAUUAUUUUAAUGUAUAAAGGAGAGAGACGGAACGUCACUGGGGAUGGAGAGCUGACGGACACCCAAUCAUCACCCUAAGAAAGGGAUCUGGACCCUUCGUGGCAAUCUCCACUCCCUACUCCAUUUCUGGGGUUCUCUCAAACCCCACCCUCUCCCACCCCCACCACUCAUGUUUCUUCCAUAAUCCAAUGUUUAAAUCCAUGGAUAUGGAAUAGCAUUAAUGAUUUCUGAGAGUCUCUGACAAGUCUGUGAUUUUCAGAAUGACCACUAUUGCUGCUUGGGCCAUAAUUUAACUCUAAUUAAAACUAAGAUUGGUGCUGUAUUUUUCUGUGCAAGAGAAAAGCACAGAACAUGAGAAAUUCUUUUUUCUUUCCAGUAAACAUUGUCAUACUUAAAGAAAAAGAGAGCACUAUUGAAGGGACUUUGGACAUGGAGAGCUAGAAGUUCCAUUAAAGUCAGUUUGAACCUGUAUAGCAUGUUCCAUUGUAAAGAAGAAAAAGAAAUGGGCUUAAUUUGCUGCUGCAAAGAGUCGUUCACCUAGCUCCUCAUUCAAGGAAUUGACGCUAUUACCAUGAGAAGUCAUGAAAUGUAUCUGGGGACUGACUCAUCUGGGGCUCCCUGAGAUAGGCUCCGGAGCUCUCUGAAAAUCUGGAUAACAAUUUGGGACCUGUGGCCAUCUCAAAGUUCUUGUCUGUGACCAGUAUGUCUGGGCAGAGCACAAAGAGUAUCAGCAUUCAUCUUGGUUGAUUGGGAGCCCUGAACACACUGAGUCUGCUUCAAGCAAGAUGAGCAGUUCUCACUUCAUGGGCACCUCUUCACUUCCUGCUAGAGCCUUCCAGCAUGACAUCAUAGAGUGAUCACUGCCUUCACUUCCUUUGGCUGAAGCCCAUCUGCUGUAUCUUCUUUGAAGGCAAAGAAGCUAUUUUAAUAAAGCCCAAGGAGGUUAUGCAAAAGGUGAAUUUAUUUAAAGCUUAAAUUUCAGAGAACCUGCAGGAAGACCAAGGAGGUUAGCAAGAAAUUAUUUCUGCUCCAGAAUGUGGGCUCUGUUUUCAGAUCAUCUAAGAGAACCUAGCAAUCUAGACUUGGUGUAAAUCUGAAAAUCAUUCCAAUCUUGCAUCUUAACCUUUAGUUUGUAAUCCCUAAGGGAACUUAGUC
rnacentral:lncRNA from 1 species